GUUGGCAGAAAAGAUUUUUAUCAUUGUAUAUUUUCUUAAUUUUCGAAAUUGUGUAUUUAUCUUCUUCAAAUUUUGUUGAUGCUGUCUGUACUUACUUUCUUAAUGUCUUGGAUAUAGUAUUUGCUCAUGUUUGAUUUGUCUGGUGUUAGGAGAAAAUAAUCUAAGUAAGAAUGGUUUUCCUUUUGUGAAAAUUCUCUCUCUCUUUUUGCUAGUUUUCUAAUUCCUUAUACUUCUUUUUAUUAUUUGAUAUCAUAAUUAGUCAGUUUUAUCCGGGUUAUUAUGUUAUUGUAAUUAGAUUAAUAUCAGUUUAAAUUUGUUCUAUAUUGUAUUUCGCAAAAAUGUUUUCAGUUUAUCCCUUUAGAAAUUGAUAUUGCAUCCUGAUGAAGAGUUAAAUAUAUUUCAAUACAAGUAACAAUUAUGAAUAGAUAUAUUUUGUUGCUAUUGGAAAUAAAACACUUCAAAAUAUAGGUUUCUAUGUUAAAAACAAUGUAAUAUACAUCCUAGUAAUCUCCUCUUCCCUAUAAUUCUAUUUUAGUUCAGAAGAAGAAAGAUUGUGCAAAGUAUUAAAUACCUUAUGAGGUACAAAGGACAAUGGGAGAAAGAUGCUUGUAUUGUGUGAGCAACAAUAAAUAAAUAGAGAAAGGGUCAUUGCAUGUAAGAGAGACUUAGAGAAAAAAGUAGUACUGUUUCUUUUAAGAAAGCACUUGUUGUUUAGCUCUGGGUUAGCUCUGAUCAAGCACAUCUGUAAUGGAAGUUCCAUCCAUGACCAUCCUGUUCUGGUAUAUCUGGGACUGCAUGAUCUUAUGUAUCGUUUUCUUUCUUUCAAGAUAGCAAGAUGGUUUGGUUGCUAUGAGAGCCAUAGUUUAGUUUCGAACAUAUCUUUACUUUCGAAGAGUAAAUGAGUCACAAAUAGCAAAAUUGAUAGAGUACCAUACUAUCAGAUGAAGGGAAGAUGGUUCAAACCCUGCCAACGAUGUUAUUAUGUUUACUCUCAGUGGCCCAUGCCAUCUAACUGUAAGUAGGUACUUUAGGGUGAACCGAUUCAUUGAAGCAAGUUACUACAGCAGCACAAAAAUUGAAUGUUUUGAUAUCUUGUAGAAAUGAGUUCAGCUGUUGCAUAUGCUGCUUUGAGAAGGGUGCAUUUUUACUAAACUGAUUACUCUUGAUGCAUUAUAUGAAGAUGAAGUCUUCAGUUGUCAUCAUAAAAUUCUUCAGUUGUCAUCAUAAAAUGUCAACAAUUGAGGGCUAGAAUAUGUUUUCAUCUUGAAUACGAAUACAAUUUAUAUUGCAGUCUUGUGGCUACAAGGUUUUCAUGACUUGAUAAGUUAGGAAUUUUUCUUUCAAAUGUCUCCUGCUUCAUUCUGUUAUAUUUCAUGGACAGUGUACCAUAUCCUCAAUAUAGUUUGACAUAGGAAAACAAUACUAGUUAUUUUUCAGUGACUAGAAGAGCAAAUUAUCCAUUAGUCUUUUAUAAACACUUUUGUAUAUGACAUUACCUAACUCAGAUGGUUAAACACCUUUCAUAGUCAUUUAUAUUUCUUCUACAUUUGCUCUCUAUAUCAUGACUCGUAAUACCGCUAAGUAUAGCAGUUGCUUAAUCACUAUAUUGGAAGCAGACUGGAAUAUGAUUAUGUGAAGCUCUAAUCUUAACAAUAGCAAUCAUAGAUCUGUUUGUACAUACAAGAUAUAUUAUAAUUUUAGAUAUGUAUAUAUAUACUGGACUUCUUUGAUUUCAGAAAUAUAUUUCUGUAUUUUAAAUUGCUUUAGAUUCUGUAAUGAAGAUCUGAUCAUUAAUUAGCUUCUUACUAAAAUAAAUAAUAAAGUCUGCUGAGGACAAAAGUCAUUAUUGUCAUCAUCACCAUUAUUAACAUUUUAACAUCAAUAUUCUCAAAGUUAUCAUUGUCAUUGUUGCAUACAUUUGUGGUGGGUGAGUCUGUAAUGCAGCAUUUCUCUAACUGCUGCACAAUUCUGUGUUGUCUUCUUAAAUUUGAUUUGAAUACUCUGUUCAAAACUCUCUUUUGUCUACCUUCAUCACAAACAUCCUCAAUCAUUAAUUCCUGUCUCAUCUAUAAUUGCAUUACAUAUCCAUUAGUUUUAUUUGCAUAUCUAUUUUAUUACUAAAAACAUCCACCUCUCUUUUAUUCAUAUAUAAGCUAUGUUAUUUCAUUGUUGGUGUGAUUAUGUUGAACUCGACACACUGGUAGAUAUAAACAUGGACACACAUACAGAUACACAUACAUGCAUGAUAAACUUUCACACAGUUUCUAUCUACUUAGUUCCACUUACAGAAUAUUGGUUGACCACUGUAGAAGGCACUUGCCCAAAGUGUUGACAGUGGAGACUCAACUUGGAAUCAUUUAAUUGCAGAGCAAACUUUUUAACCACAUGGCUAUGUGUAUGAAACUCACCACCUAAGAAAAGUGUACUUGAUUGAAGGAAAAACCAGUAGUACUAGCAGAGAGCUCCUUCAAAUGCAGUUACUGUAUGCGUGACUGCCCCUCCUAUUUGGGCCUCUACAAACACAGCAGACGUUACACAUCAUCAACCACUGACAUGGUUUCUUCAUGCGCAGAUCCAUGUCCUCUCAAGACAUGUGUAUGGUUUAAUAAUAAAGAAUUUAAUAAUAAAUUUAGCUUGUUAAUGUUGAGUAACAUAAUGCCAGGUGUGCUUAGUAGAUGAUUGAAAUGAGAUCCACCCUCGUGUUUACUGUAUAUAUAGAUAUAAGAUACUGUGUGUGUCUGUUUUGAUCAAACUUUGUUUUAGCCUUGGUUGCUAUGUUUUUAUUGUAUCCUAUAGGCCCAAGAUUAAUAGGAAGAGAUUGUUGAGAAAUUUGACCACUACAAUGAGCAUCGAUGCAAAUUUCUUUACUGACUUGUAGAUCUACCUAAUUGUUUAUUAAUAUCAGUUAGUGUAGGCUUUCAAUUCAAUUUAUAUAUAUUUGUAUAUAACCAUAUUUUAGCUAAGAAUAUUAGUUGCAUAAUUGGUAUUACAUAUAAUUUCUGCCUUGUCACAUAAUCUGACUGUCAACAAUACUCUCACAAAACUUGCAGUCGACUGGUGAUAUUUACAGUAAAACUAAUUCACUAACAAUAUUUCACUGAUCUCUUUCAAUGCAGUGGAAUUUUUGUAUAACUCAAUAUUAGGUUCUUAGUAAAUUGUUUUAAUUACCUAAAGUAAAAUGUAACUUUUUAGUGACAUUUUUCUUAAUUUUUUUGUAUGUUUGUAUAUUAAUCAAUUCCUAAUUGUUUAACAUAUUUCUAUCAUUUAAUUUAUUUAGAAACUUAUACAUUAUUCAGUUAAAAAUUUGUAUUUAAAUUUAUAUUUGUAUAUUUUAGUUUGGAGUUAGAUUUAAUUAAGUUUUUAGUUGAUUUGUCAUUUGAUUUAAAACAUUUUAAUACAAAGCUAAACACAUGAGGAUACAAAUGAUGGGAACAAUGGUACAUUUAUGUGAGGGUCUGCCUACAUCAGGACUUGGGUAAACGCUUUUAUAAAAUGCCCAGUACUCAAUGUAAAAUAGUUGACAUUAGGGAGAGCACCCAGCCAUAGAAACUAUGCCAAAACUGAUAUUGGGGUCUGACACCUCUCUGCAGCUUGUCAGACCCUCUCAAACCUUCCACCCCUUGCCAGCAUGGAAAAUGGACAUUAAAUGCUGAUGACAAUAAGAAAAUACAAAAAAUGCAAGUGGCCAAAACCAAGCCAUUUCAAAGUACAUUCAAAAUGGCUGGGUUUUGGUUGUUUAGAUAUUUUUCUGAGUCAGUUACAGUUUUGAAAUAAAAUGGGUAAAGAAAGAAA
rnacentral:lncRNA from 1 species